rnacentral:misc_RNA from 1 species
GCUGGAAUUUAGGUGGAAAAUUAGCAUUUGUAAAAGGGUGGGAUUGAAAAGCGAAGUUAAACAAGAGAAGAUUUGAAGGCUGUGAACAAUAUCGAUAAAUAGCGCCCUUAAUAGUAAAAUCAGGGUUUAUACUUGAGACCUAUAACUCCUUGGUCAUCACACCCAAGGUUCCAUAGGCAUCACAACUAGAAUCAUAACUGCUGGAAAUUUUAUUGACUGAAAACUGAAUCAUAAAUAUUUAGCUCCUGUUUGGUUCAAAUCAGCUACUUAGAAUUCAUUUGGAAAUGAAUUCUUGUGUUUGAUGUGAUAUUACUUAAAAUAUGGAAUUUAAUUGAAUUCCAUAUAGUUUAUGUUUGGUAUAAUUCCAUAAUUGAACUUCAUUUAUCG